rnacentral:rRNA from 1 species
AAUCGAACUCGGAGAUAGCUGGUUCUCCUCGAAAUAGCUUUAGGGCUAGCCUCGAGGGAAGUGAUAUGGAGGUAGAGCACUGAAUGGUCUAGGGGCACAUGAGUGUUACCAAAACCUAUCAAACUCCGAAUGCCAUAAUCACGAUACUCGGGAGUCAGACUACGGGGGAUAAGCUUCGUAGUCGAGAGGGAAAGAGCCCAGACCACCAGCUAAGGUCCCUAAAUCCAAAUUAAGUGGCAAAGGAGGUAGGGUUACAGAGACAACCAGGAUGUUGGCUUAGAAGCAGCCAUACAUUUAAAGAGUGCGUAAUAGCUCACUGGUCGAGUGACUCUGCGCCGAAGAUUACCGGGGCUAAAUUUGGUACCGAAGCUGUGGUCUAGCACUCAACAAGAUGAGUGCUAGAGGUAGAGGAGCGUUCUGUACGGGCGGAAGCCAUACUGUAAGGAGUGGUGGACUGUACAGAAGUGAGAAUGCUGGCAUGAGUAGCGAGAAGGUAAGUGAGAAUCUUACCCGUCGAAAGCCUAAGGUUUCCUGAGGAAGGCUCGUCCACUCAGGGUUAGUCGGGACCUAAGCCGAGGUUGAAGAAACGUAGGCGAUGGACAACAGGUUGAGAUUCCUGUACUAUCGAAGAGCGUUAGAGAGAAGGGGUGACGCAGGAGGAUAGGUUGAGCGCACGGUUGGUAGAGUGCGUCUAAGCACGUAGGGAGCCGGGAUAGGCAAAUCCGUUCCGGCAAUUCUGAAAUGCGAUGGGGAGCGAAAAAUAAGUAGCGAAGCAACCGACUCCAUACUGCCAAGAAAAGCCUCUAUCGAGCUUGGAGAUACCCGUACCGCAAACCGACACAGGUAGGCGAGGAGAGAAUCCUAAGACGCGCGGAAGAACCUUUGUUAAGGAACUAGGCAAAAUGGCCUCGUAACUUCGGGAGAAGGGGCGCCGGGAGAGAUCUCGGCCGCAGUGAAUAGGCCCAAGCGACUGUUUACCAAAAACACAAGUCUCUGCUAAGUCGAAAGACGAAGUAUAGGGGCUGACACCUGCCCGGUGCUGGAAGGUUAAGGGGAAGGGUUAGCGAAAGCGAAGCUCUGAACUUAAGCCCCAGUAAACGGCGGCCGUAACUAUAACGGUCCUAAGGUAGCGAAAUUCCUUGUCGGGUAAGUUCCGACCCGCACGAAAGGUGUAACGACUUGGGCACUGUCUCAACAAAGGAUCCGGUGAAAUUGUAGUACUCGUGAAGAUGCGAGUUACCCGCGAUAGGACGGAAAGACCCCGUGGAGCUUUACUGCAGGCUGACAUUGGAUUUUGGUAUUGCAUGUACAGGAUAGGUGGGAGACAGAGAAGCAUGGGCGCCAGCCUAUGUGGAGUCGGCCUUGGGAUACCACUCUUGCAAUGCUGAAGUUCUAACCAGAGCCUUUGAAGCAAGGCAUGGGACACUGUCAGUUGGGCAGUUUGACUGGGGCGGUCGCCUCCUAAAAGGUAACGGAGGCGUUCAAAGGUUCCCUCAGCACGGUCGGAAAUCGUGCGGAGAGUGCAAAGGCAGAAGGGAGCUUGACUGCGACACAGACAGGUGGAGCAGGAACGAAAGUUGGACUUAGUGAUCCGGUGGUUCCGAGUGGAAGGGCCAUCGCUCAACGGAUAAAAGCUA